UGUGUAUGGAGCUUGGGAACAAUACCUUGGCUUGGAGCACACUGACACUACACCAAAAAGGUCUUACACAGCCAAUCAGGAAACCAAACAAUUGAAAGGCUUGAAGAAAUAUUUGCAUCGUCAAGCCAAACGUACGGUGGCUUGACACUGGAUUUACAUUGCAAUCGAUUCGGUCCAACAGCUUUAUUCCAGAUAUGCGAGUGU